AGUCAACAUGCCCAGAGGACGUGGAUAACCUCGGGAAACUGAGGAUAAACCGCGAUAGGUCAUAAUAUCUGGAAUGAUUUAUGGUUUAAAUCUAUAUGGCCUCUGGAUUGGACUGCGGCCGAUCAGGCUGUUGGUGAGGUAAUGGCCCACCAAACCUAAAACCGGUACGGGCUCUGAGAGGAGAAGCCCGGAGAUGGGCACUGAGACAAGGGCCCAGGCCCUAUGGGGCGCAGCAGGCGCGAAAACUCUGCAAUAAGCGAAAGCUUGACAGGGUUAUUCUGAGUGAUUUCCGCUAAGGAAAUCUUUUGGCACCUCUAAAAAUGGUGCAGAAUAAGGGGUGGGCAAGCCUGGUGUCAGCCGCCGCGGUAAUACCAGCACCCCGAGUGGUCGGGACGAUUAUUGGGCCUAAAGCAUCCGUAGCCGGUUCUACAAGUCUUCCGUUAAAUCCACCUGCUUAACAGAUGGGCUGCGGAGGAUACUAUGGAGCUAGGAGGCGGGAGAGGCAAGCGGUACUUAGUGGGUAGGGGUAAAAUCCGUUGAUCCAUUGAAGACCACCAGUGGCGAAGGCGGCUUGCCAGAACGCACUCGACGGUGAGGGAUGAAAGCUGGGGGAGCAAACCGGAUUAGAUACCCGGGUAGUCCCAGCUGUAAACGAUGCAGACUCGGUGAUGAAUAGGCUUCGUGCCUAUUCAGUGCCGCAGGGAAGCCGUUAAGUCUGCCGCCUGGGGAGUACGGUCGCAAGACUAAAACUUAA
rnacentral:rRNA from 1 species